rnacentral:lncRNA from 1 species
CCAUUGAUAUCUAUUUUAAACAAAAUGCAUAACAAAAAAAAUUAAAUUUCUACACAUGACUACAGACAGCAUUAAACAAGAAAAAGAUUCUAACAUAAAUAAACUAUAUUGAAGAAAACUGGAAAAAAAAAAAAGAAUAAUGAUAAUGGACCCUUUGGUAGAAUAUCUGCCAUCAUCAUUAAAGUUAAUGGAAUGACAAAUGCACUACUCAAAAUUUUAGCUAAAUUUCUAUAAUUAUCGGAACUAUUAAUCAACUUCUCGUGAACUUAGAUCCCAAAAAUAAUCUUGUAACCAAAUCUUUUUGUAGACAUGUGUUGCUCAUAAUAUAUUUAAACAAAACUACCAACUGGAUAAGAACAUUCUUUAAAGAAUACUUUAGGAGAAAUUACACAAAAUAAAAAAAAUUAGUAGAAGGUUCAUGAGAUGACAGUGAAACAAAAUAAAUAGGUUUAGAGUAUCUCUUAAACAAAACAAAAAAGUAAACUGCUAUAGGAAUUAGGAUCAACUCACUGGAGUUUCUUCAUUAUUUUUAUUUGAUGGAAAUCCACGAGUGAAAUUGCUAGUACAACAGUGAAUACGGAAUACUCAAACUGAAAACGAGAUCGCAAACAGGACCAUCAACUUUGAACAGAAUCGUCGGCACGAUCUCGACUCAAAGAAACUGAUGAGGGGCAGCGUAAGUGUGCUUUUGGGAGGCAGUUCGUGACUGGUUCUAUGACUGUUCGUGCUGUAUUUUUGUGGAGUUCAUGACUGAAUUUGGGGCUGGACUUUGGUGGUGUUUAAUGGAGGAAAAUGGAAGGAGUUGUGGCUGCUUUCAACUUAACUUUAACGAAGAGAUGUGAGUUGUUUUUCUGAUUUAGAUGGCUGAAGCAGUGAACAUUUGGAUGGCUACCGCUCUUUAUUUUCUCCCUCCUCUUAUUUAUAAAGAGGAUAAAAAUUAGUUAUCUAUCCUUGUGGGAAUGUGAGAUUGUG